AUACCAGCACCCCGAGUGGUCGGGACGAUUAUUGGGCCUAAAGCAUCCGUAGCCGGUACUGCAAGUCUUCCGUUAAAUCCACCUGCUUAACAGUUGGGCUGCGGGGGAUACUACAGCGCUAGGAGGCGGGAGAGGCAAGCGGUACUCAAUGGGUAGGGGUAAAAUCCGCUGAUCCAUUGAAGACCACCAGUGGCGAAGGCGGCUUGCCAGAACGCGCUCGACGGUGAGGGAUGAAAGCUGGGGGAGCAAACCGGAUUAGAUACCCGGGUAGUCCCAGCUGUAAACGAUGCAGACUCGGUGAUGGGCUGGCCUUGUGCCAGCCCAGUGCCGCAGGGAAGCCGUUAAGUCUGCCGCCUGGGGAGUACGGUCGCAAGACUGAAACUUAAAGGAAUUGACGGGG
rnacentral:rRNA from 1 species